rnacentral:rRNA from 1 species
UACAGAGGGUGCAAGCGUUAAUCGGAUUUACUGGGCGUAAAGGGUGCGCAGGUGGUUACGUAAGUCUGAUGUGAAAGCCCCGGGCUCAACCUGGGAACUGCAUUGGAGACUGCGUGGCUAGAGUGUGGCAGAGGGGGGUGGAAUUCCGCGUGUAGCAGUGAAAUGCGUAGAGAUGCGGAGGAACACCAAUGGCGAAGGCAGCCCCCUGGGUUAACACUGACACUCAUGCACGAAAGCGUGGGGAGCAAACAGG